rnacentral:rRNA from 1 species
AUAUUGCACAAUGGGCGAANNNNNGAUGCAGCUAUGCCGCGUGUAUGAAGAAGGCCUUCGGGUUGUAAAGUACUUUCAACAAGAAAGAAAAAAUAAAAUCUAAUAUAUUUUAUUCUUGACGUUACUUGGAAAAGAAGCACCGGCUAACUCCGUGCCAGCAGCCGCGGUAAUACGGAGGGUGCUAGCGUUAAUCGGAAUUACUGGGCGUAAAGAGCACNNNGGCGGUUAAUUAAGUCAGAUGUGAAAUCCCUAAGCUUAACUUAGGAACUGCAUUUGAAACUAAUUAACUUGAGUUUCGUAGAGGGGGGUAGAAUUCCAGGUGUAGCGGUGAAAUGCGUAGAUAUCUGGAGGAAUACCAGUGGCGAAGGCGACCCCCUGGACGAAUACUGACGCUCAGGUGCGAAAGCAUGGGGAGCAAACAGGAUUAGAUACCCUGGUAGUCCAUGCUGUAAACGAUGUCGACUUGAAGGUUGUAAGCUUGACUUGUAACUUUCGUAGCUAACGCGUUAAGUCGACCGCCUGGGGAGUACGACCGCAAGGUUAAAACUCAAAUGAAUUGACGGGGGCCCGCACAAGCGGUGGAGCAUGUGGUUUAAUUCGAUGCAACGCGAAAAACCUUACCUGGUCUUGACAUCCAUGGAAUUUAAUAGAGAUAUUUAAGUGCCUUCGGGAACCAUGAGACAGGUGCUGCAUGGCUGUCGUCAGCUCGUGUUGUGAAAUGUUGGGUUAAGUCCCGCAACGAGCGCAACCCUUGUCCUUUGUUGCCAUCAGUUUAGCUGGGAACUCAAAGGAAACUGCCGGUGAUAAACCGGAGGAAGGUGAGGACGACGUCAAGUCAUCAUGGCCCUUACGACCAGGGCUACACACGUGCUACAAUGGUAUAUACAAAGGGAAGCAUCCUCGUAAGAGUAAGCGGAUCUCACAAAAUAUAUCUUAGUUCGGAUUGGAGUCUGCAACUCGACUCUAUGAAGUCGGAAUCGCUAGUAAUCGUAGAUCAGAACGCUACGGUGAAUACGUUNCCGGGCCUUGUACACACCGCCCGUCACACCAUGGGAGUGGGUUGU